rnacentral:rRNA from 1 species
CGCUUAUGCGUUGUUGGGUAGGGGAGCGUUCUGUAAGCCUGUGAAGGUGGCCUGUGAGGGUUGCUGGAGGUAUCAGAAGUGCGAAUGCUGACAUAAGUAACGAUAAAGCGGGUGAAAAGCCCGCUCGCCGGAAGACCAAGGGUUCCUGUCCAACGUUAAUCGGGGCAGGGUGAGUCGACCCCUAAGGCGAGGCCGAAAGGCGUAGUCGAUGGGAAACGGGUUAAUAUUCCCGUACUUGGUGUUACUGCGAAGGGGGGACGGAGAAGGCUAUGUUGGCCGGGCGACGGUUGUCCCGGUUUAAGCGUGUAGGUGUGUGUUCCAGGUAAAUCCGGUUCACUUUAACACUGAGGCGUGAUGACGAGGCACUACGGUGCUGAAGCAACAAAUGCCCUGCUUCCAGGAAAAGCCUCUAAGCAUCAGGUAACAUCAAAUCGUACCCCAAACCGACACAGGUGGUCAGGUAGAGAAUACCAAGGCGCUUGAGAGAACUCGGGUGAAGGAACUAGGCAAAAUGGUGCCGUAACUUCGGGAGAAGGCACGCUGACAUGUAGGUGAAGCGGUUUACCCGUGGAGCUGAAAUCAGUCGAAGAUACCAGCUGGCUGCAACUGUUUAUUAAAAACACAGCACUGUGCAAACACGAAAGUGGACGUAUACGGUGUGACGCCUGCCCGGUGCCGGAAGGUUAAUUGAUGGGGUCAGCGCAAGCGAAGCUCCUGAUCGAAGCCCCGGUAAACGGCGGCCGUAACUAUAACGGUCCUAAGGUAGCGAAAUUCCNGACGCCUGCCCGGUGCCGGAAGGUUAAUUGAUGGGGUCAGCGCAAGCGAAGCUCCUGAUCGAAGCCCCGGUAAACGGCGGCCGUAACUAUAACGGUCCUAAGGUAGCGAAAUUCCUUGUCGGGUAAGUUCCGACCUGCACGAAUGGCGUAAUGAUGGCCAGGCUGUCUCCACCCGAGACUCAGUGAAAUUGAACUCGCUGUGAAGAUGCAGUGUACCCGCGGCAAGACGGAAAGACCCCGUGAACCUUUACUAUAGCUUGACACUGAACAUUGAGCCUUGAUGUGUAGGAUAGGUGGGAGGCUUUGAAGUGUGGACGCCAGUCUGCAUGGAGCCGACCUUGAAAUACCACCCUUUAAUGUUUGAUGUUCUAACGUGGACCCGU